ACCUGGAUAAAAAUUGCAAAUGACAGAAUUGUUCAUCUCCCAAAGUCUUUUUCUGGACUUUAUAAAGAUAAAGGCUGAAAACAAAAAUUUAUCAAAUUUUGUAUUGUAAUCUCUACGUUUAACUUGUCUGCUUCUACCUAAACGAUCUCUCACCGUUGUGUUAUUUUGUGCGUACUUAAUACAUCACUUAAAAUACCAUAUGCUUUCCUGACACUACGUCAAAGCAGGUCUGCAGAUGAUAACCAUCUUAUUCAAAAUUGGGAGAGUUCUUCAAUGUCAGAAACUACACCAAAGAAAAUUACAAACCAUUGUGAUUGAAAAUGCAAAAUUUCAAAUACAAAAAUCUGAGAGAGGACAUAUGAAAGGAAGACUAUCUAUAACUACAUACCGGCAAAAGCGGAGCUAGAAUUUCAGCUUUAUGAGUUCUAGAUUUUGGAAUAAUAAUAUCAAAUACUAAUUAAUGAAUUUCUUAAUAUAAAUAUACAAAUUUGAACAACAACUACUGGAUUUGGCCGAACUCGUAGCCGGGUUCUAGCCGUUGCAUACCAGUGUGCCGGUUAUCUGAGGCCAACAUUAUACAAAAUAAUAAUAAUAAAGAUAAUAAAUACUAGAAAUUCUCAACACAAACAGGUUGAGUAAUGAGAAAAUCCUUGUGCUGCUGUGCUGAGCCGUCCUUCAACCAAGGAAUUCUGUUGUACAAGAACUGGGUGGAGAGAUAUUGGCUUUGCUCAGAAGCUGAGCCAUUAUUCAGAUAUGUCUAUAAAUAAAUGAUCUAUCUUGAUGUGAAGUAAUUUAAAGAUUAGUCCUUUUUCAAGACUUGGGGGGAGAAAGCUGAGAAAAAGGGAUCCUCAAGCUUAGGUUGUGCUUAUUCUUCGUUUUGAUGACCUUCUUGUGAUCACGCAGAACACAAACAUCGCCAUUGCAGACGAUUCGGCUGGAUUCUGAGGACUCUGAGAAGCAGCUCCAGAAAUUGAACAAAGCCAUAGAGAUUGUGGCGUCUCCUCCUCCUCUCAAUAUCUUAGUAUAUUUGUGAUGGAAUGAAGGGACGCUAUAUAUGGACAGAGACAAAAAUGGGAACAUGUGAAAGUCGUUAAUGGCAAUUAAUAAGUCAAUUCAAACGAGCCAGGAUCCCUUGCUAUAUUUAUUGCUAAAUAGAGAAGUGAGGAUUUAUAUAGCCGCCUCCAAUUUAUUUAGUCACUAAUAACAUAGAUUGAGUUUAAAUGAAA
rnacentral:lncRNA from 1 species